rnacentral:rRNA from 1 species
GUAGGGAAUAUUGGACAAUGGGGGCAACCCUGAUCCAGCGACGCCGCGUGAGUGAUGAAGGCCUUCGGGUCGUAAAGCUCUGUUGCAGGGGAAGAACACAAUGACGGUACCCUGCUAGAAAGGAUCGGCUAACUUCGUGCCAGCAGCCGCGGUAAGACGAGGGAUCCUAGCGUUGUUCGGAAUUCUUGGGCGUAAAGCGGGUGCAGGUGGCUUGGUAAGUCAGAUGUGAAAGCCUGGGGCUUAACCCCAGAAGUGCAUUUGAUACUGCUGAGCUUGGGUGCUGGAGAGGCUAUUAGAAUUCCUGGUGUAGUGGUGAAAUACGUAGAUAUCAGGAGGAAUACCGGAGGCGAAGGCGGAUAGCUGGCCAGACACUUACACUCAGACCCGAAAGCGUGGGGAUCAAACAGGAUUAGAUACCCCGGUAGUCC